CACGUAGGGUGCGAGCGUUGUCCGGAAUUAUUGGGCGUAAAGAGCUCGUAGGCGGUGUGUCGCGUCGGCCGUGAAAACCUGCAGCUUAACUGUGGGCUUGCGGUCGAUACGGGCAUCACUGGAGUUCGGCAGGGGAGACUGGAAUUCCUGGUGUAGCGGUGGAAUGCGCAGAUAUCAGGAGGAACACCGGUGGCGAAGGCGGGAUCCUGGGCCAGUACUGACGCUGAGGAGCGAAAGCGUGGGG
rnacentral:rRNA from 1 species